GCAACCCUGUAACCAAAGCUGUGGUCCAGAGGUGGACACAUAAUCUAAUGAGUCCCUUUAUUGAGAUCUGAGAUUAAGAAUCAUGUCAGCCUCUCUGAUGGCAGAAGAUCAAGAUUUAAAAUUCAAAAGAUACUAGUAAGUAUUAAAGUUGAUCUGCAGCAAAAAAAGAACUAACUCAACACACAAAUAGCAUCUUGUAGAAAAAAAAGAGUAUCUUCUGAGAUACAGAGGAUACUCCUGACCUCACAUGGAGCCUCUGGAUCUAGUUUUUCCUGACUUCCAGCUGUCCUCCUAUGGCUUGACUGCCUUCCUGAGAAUUCAUGGGAAUUCCAAUAAAUUCUUCUUUAUGCUUAAGUUAGAAAUGUGUCUUUUUCCUGACUAAAACAAGGUACAUAUUGGACAAUCUCAAGAGGGACAGUCAGGUAGAUCAAAGAGUUCUAGUGA
rnacentral:lncRNA from 1 species